AGCGAACGCUGGCGGCAGGCCUAACACAUGCAAGUCGAACGAACCUUUCGGGGUUAGUGGCGGACGGGUGAGUAACACGUGGGAACGUGCCUUUAGGUUCGGAAUAACUCAGGGAAACUUGUGCUAAUACCGAAUGUGCCCUUCGGGGGAAAGAUUAAUCGCCUUUAGAGCGGCCCGCGUCUGAUUAGCUAGUUGGUUGAGGUAAUGGCUCACCAAGGCGACGAUCAGUAGCUGGUCUGAGAGGAUGAUCAGCCACAUUGGGACUGAGACACGGCCCAAACUCCUACGGGAGGCAGCAGGGGGGAAUCUUGCGCAAUGGGCGAAAGCCUGACGCAUCCAUGCCGCGUGAAUGAUGAAGGUCUUAGGAUUGUAAAAUUCUUUCACCGGGGACGAUAAUGACGGUACCCGGAGAAGAAGCCCCGGCUAACUUCGUG
rnacentral:rRNA from 1 species